UUGCUUCGGCAGCACAUAUACUAAAAUUGGAAUGAUACAGAGAAGUUUAGCAUGGUCCCUGUGCAAGGAUGACACACAAAACUCUUCAGGGUUUUAACUUUAAA
ensembl:snRNA U6 U6 spliceosomal RNA